AUUGAACGCUGGCGGCAGGCUUAACACAUGCAAGUCGAACGGGGAAGGUUGCUUCGGUAACUGACCUAGCGGCGGACGGGUGAGUAAUGCUUAGGAAUCUGCCUAUUAGUGGGGGACAACAUUCCGAAAGGGAUGCUAAUACCGCAUACGCCCUACGGGGGAAAGCAGGGGAUCUUCGGACCUUGCGCUAAUAGAUGAGCCUAAGUCGGAUUAGCUAGUUGGUGGGGUAAAGGCCUACCAAGGCGACGAUCUGUAGCGGGUCUGAGAGGAUGAUCCGCCACACUGGGACUGAGACACGGCCCAGACUCCUACGGGAGGCAGCAGUGGGGAAUAUUGGACAAUGGGCGGAAGCCUGAUCCAGCCAUGCCGCGUGUGUGAAGAAGGCCUUUUGGUUGUAAAGCACUUUAAGCGAGGAGGAGGCUCUUAAGGUUAAUACCCUUGAUGAGUGGACGUUACUCGCAGAAUAAGCACCGGCUAACUCUGUGCCAGCAGCCGCAGUAACAC
rnacentral:rRNA from 1 species